AAGAGUUAGGGUCCCUCGCGGCCCGACCUCCCAACCCUUUGUCUACCAAACCAUUUGUUGCUUCGGCGAGCCCGUCCUCACGGACCGCCGGGGGGCCCUCACCGGCCCCCUGGCCCGCGCUCGUCGGUGGCCCAAACCACAAAUUCUAAUUAAACGUGUCUUGACUAAGUAUAAAUUUUUAAUUAAAGCA
rnacentral:misc_RNA from 1 species